rnacentral:rRNA from 1 species
GAACUUAAGCAUAUCAAUAAGCGGAGGAAAAGAAACCAACAGGGAUUGCCUCAGUAACGGCGAGUGAAGCGGCAACAGCUCAAAUUUGAAAUCUGGCCGCAAGGUCCGAGUUGUAAUUUGUAGAGGAUGCUUUUGGCGAGGUGCCUUCCGAGUUCCCUGGAACGGGACGCCAUAGAGGGUGAGAGCCCCGUACGGUAGGACCACCAAGCCUCUGUAAAGCUCCUUCGACGAGUCGAGUAGUUUGGGAAUGCUGCUCUAAAUGGGAGGUGUACGUCUUCUAAAGCUAAAUACCGGCCAGAGACCGAUAGCGCACAAGUAGAGUGAUCGAAAGAUGAAAAGCACUUUGAAAAGAGGGUUAAAAAGUACGUGAAAUUGUUGAAAGGGAAGCAUUCAUGACCAGACUUGGGCUUGGUUGAACAUCCGGCGUUCUCGCCGGUGCACUCUGCCAGUCCAGGCCAGCAUCAGUUUGCCCCGGGGGAUAAAGGCGGCGGGAAUGUGGCUCCCUUCGGGGAGUGUUAUAGCCCGUCGUGUAAUGCCCUGGGGCGGACUGAGGAACGCGCUUCGGCACGGAUGCUGGCGUAAUGGUCAUCAAUGACCCGUCUUGAAACACGGACCAAGGAGUCGUCUUCGUAUGCGAGUGUUCGGGUGUCAAACCCCUACGCGUAAUGAAAGUGAACGUAGGUGAGAGCUUCGGCGCAUCACCGGCCGAUCCUGAUGUUCUCGGAUGGAUUUGAGUAAGAGCAUACGGGGCCGGACCCGAAA